rnacentral:rRNA from 1 species
GAUGAACGCUAGCGACAGGCUUAACACAUGCAAGUCGAGGGGCAGCGAGGGCGUAGCAAUACGCCUGUCGGCGACCGGCGCACUGGUGAGUAACACGUAUGCGACCUGCCCCCCUACAGGGGUAUAACCCGUAGAAAUGCGGACUAAUCCCCCAUAGUCCUGAGUGCUGCAUGGCCUUCAGGGGAAAGGCCAGCCGGUAGGGGAUGGGCAUGCGGCGCAUUAGCUAGUUGGUGGGGUAACGGCCUACCAGGGCGACGAUCAGUAGCCGGCCUGAGAGGGUGAACGGCCACAUUGGGACUGAGACACGGCCCAG